AACGUAGGUGGCGAGCGUUAUCCGGAUUUACUGGGCGUAAAGCGUGUGCAGGCGGGGAGACAAGUGGGGUUUGAAAUUUCCCGGCUUAACCGGGAAGGGUUAUGCCAGACUGUCUUUCUGGAGUGCGAGAGAGGGGCGUGGAAUUCCGGUGGAGCGGUGAAAUGCAUUGAGAUCGGAAAGAACACCAACGGCGAAAGCACUCUGCUGGGCCGACACUGACACUGAGAGACGAAAGCUAGGGGAGCAAAUGGG
rnacentral:rRNA from 1 species